rnacentral:tRNA from 1 species
GGAGAGGUGGCAGAGUGGCCGAUCGCGCCUCCUUGCUAAGGAGGUAACGCCGUAAGGUGUUCGUGGGUUCGAAUCCCACCCUCUCCGCCA